UACGAAGGGGGCUAGCGUUGCUCGGAAUUACUGGGCGUAAAGCGUGCGCAGGCGGUCUGUUAAGACCGAUGUGAAAUCCCCGGGCUCAACCUGGGAACUGCAUUUGUGACUGUAGAGCUGGAGUGCGGGCAGAGGGGGAUGGAAUUCCGCGUGUAGCAGUGAAAUGCGUAGAUAUGCGGAGGAACACCGAUGGCGAAGGCAAUCCCCUGGGCCUGCACUGACGCUCAUGCACGAAAGCGUGGGGAGCAAACAGG
rnacentral:rRNA from 1 species